UAUAGGUUCAUCACUGCCUGCUUUGAUUGAAAGGAAUGAUACGGACUACCAGACUUCCUUUCAGUCUCAGGUUUGUCACCUCCCACUUCGACAGAAAGGAAUGACACAAACUACCAGACUUUCUUUCAGUCUCAGGGUGCUGUUAUUGCCUCCACUACACAAAAAAAAGAACCAAAGAAGAAUAAUAAAGAAGUUGAAAAUUGUGCAUUAAAAUAGUCUUUCAUAACAAGGUAAAUACAGCAUAUUUUUCAGUUGGUUUUAUCUUGUCAUAUGUCAGGAAGAAUAAACUGUAAUCUACAUUCUCUUCCUACUACAUUUCCCUGCCUAAAACUUGUUGAGUACUCAACUUGAGAACUUGUUUUUCUCCUUCAAAACAUUCAUUAAAACACAAAUGACUUUCCCCCUUUUGAUGUUGCCAAAGGAACUCUAACACCAUGUAAUUAAAUCUCUGUUUUAAAGUACUUUUCUCAACAAACACAGGCUUCCAAGUCUAAGA